AUGUCGCCGAUACCGUCACUCCUCCUCCUCUUCCUUGUCAUACCAGCCGUACUCGCGGCCGGCGGCGGCAGUGCAAAGAGCAAGCUGAAGCACAUCCACCUGUACAUGCACGAGACGUUCUCGAGCCCGAACGCCACGGAGGGCCUCCUCGUGCCGUCCCCCUUUGGUGCCAACGCGAUGUUCAGGCAGGUGGCCGUGUUCGACGACGAGCUCCGCACCGGCCAGGAGCGGGACUUGCCGCUCGUGGCGCGGUACCAGGGCAUCAUCGUCUCCACGGGGCAGGCGUUGCAGGGCCACCUGACGGUCACCACAGUCGUGUUCGUCGCCGGGGAGCACGACGGGAGCGCGCUAUCCGUGGAGGGCUCCUUCCAGGGCUUCUAGGGCACCUCCGAGCGCAGCAUCAUGGGCGGCAACGACAAGUUCAGGAUGGCGCGCGGGUACUACCUGCUCAAGCUCCUCGGCCAUACGUCGCCGGACACCGCCAUCUCCGAGGUCGACUUCUUUGUGCUCCCGUGCGACACUGCCUACCUUUAA
rnacentral:rRNA from 1 species